UUCUUGUAUCUAUGCUCCUUUACCACUUACCUUGUAGGCUUGUGUUAGAAACCUCACAGAGAUUAAUCUUAAAACAUGAAGACACUAGUUUUACUAUGUGUUGUUAUGUUAGAACUUGCUGUUAAUGUCAUGGAAUCACGUGAUUAUUCUUGCUCUGCAAGGCAGAGAAUGGGAUGUAGUCUUUAUUGCAGUCGGUAACCAUGCACAUUUUUCACGUGUAGUAAGAAAGAUUCUGAUAUUACAUGUUUUUGCCAGCGUUGCUCCAGCAAGUAUAAACUUCCAUUCUGGAGCAUUUACAUGGAGGAGUAAAUUCAGAUCUACAGAGGAAUAUGCCUUAUUCUUACUGAUAUAUCAGUGUACAUAUUCGCAAAUCGUAUUUCGAAAAUUAUUUUUCAAAUUAUUUAAGGUAUUAUAACGUCCAUUUCUAGGAUAAGAAAUAGACUUCAAGUACAAAAUGUUUUUGGAAAGCGAUUUGUGUGUCUUUUGGUCGGCAAAGGUGUCAUCAAUGUGAUACUUAUAUGAACUUUUUAAUUACUUUAAAGCCACACAAGCAAAUUAGCAAAAUAUAUUAUUCGUGCAUUUCAUAUAAGACGUCAGUUGCUGUAUAAUCCAUAACAUUUAAAUUAUUUAUAUGUUUAAUCUAAAUAUUUGAACAUUUAUUUUGAUUUUGAAUUAAUUGAGAAAUAAUAUAUUUUAAAAGUAGUAAUGACGUUACGCACAAUACUUGUGUCACUUGACGUUACAGUUGAAACGUCAAUAUUGCGCGAAGAGGACGACGUUAUUUUGAUUUAUAAUACGAGCAACGCUAAAACUAUAAUAUGAAAAACUGAAAUAUAAAAUAACUCCUAUAUAUAUGACUAUUUUAAUUCAUUUAUACACUGUAAAAUGCUGAGAUGAAUGUCCUCAUGUAAUUGAAUAUUUCUUGUGGCGUCAAUUUUGGAACAUAUAUAAACUAUCGAUUCUGCUGGAACGAUUGCCUUUUUUUUCGAUACAAGUUUAUAAGAUAGUGGUGAUGAUGUCUUAUUGUCAUAAUACAAUCCACUGAUAACAUUUGUCCCAGUUGGCAAUAUGGAGCCCCAUGAAUCUGUUGUGUCGACACCAAGAACGUGAGGACAAUCCAUAACUUUUAUUAGGUAGUAAUCA